CCCCCAAGCAUCCUGAGGUCCAGGAGUCAGUGUGCCAAAGCCAGGCACAGUGGCACCGUGUGUAAUCCCAGCACUCAGAGGUUCGAGGUCAGCCUGGGACAUCGUGAGCCCCUAUCUCAACCAAAAGAAGAAACGAUUCCCAGGUGAAGAGUCCCGUUUUUACUGAUUGAGAAAACGGAAACAGAGGAGAGAGGCUAAGGCAGGAGAAUCAUGAAUUCACAGCCACCCAGGGCUUCACAGCAAGACUCUGCCAAAAACCAGGAGAAAACCAAUCGUGAACAAGUGAGAACAGAGACGGUAAACACAUCCACCUCUGGAAAAGAGGCAGGUGUGGCGGACAUGCCACCCACCACCAACAGCCCCACCCCCUGUUCCUUCCAGCCCUCCAGGCCCUUCCUGGAGUCUUUUGUGUGACUCCAGGUACAAAUGUAAUUAAAAUAGUCUUUCUCCUGUUA